rnacentral:misc_RNA from 1 species
AAGAAAUCAUCCCUCGCGCGCACGUGGCGCUGAACCACCCGCCGAGAUAAUCGUCGAACGGAACGGAAGGGAGAAAACGGAGAGAGGCGGCGGAGCGCGAGGCUUACGGAAUUGGGAGUCAGCGCUCGAUGGAUCCGCCCGAAAUCUCACGAAUCUCGGGAAUCCGCGAAUCUCACUUGCGCGAGCUCUCGUAAAGUUAGAGCGCUCUCGCACGGUGGCUGAGGGGUGACCUCGGAAGGGGAGAAAAAGCGCGUCGGGGGGGUCACCGACGGUAACUGGGACACCGCGGACCGACGCGAUCCUAGUUCCGGGGACAGCGCGUCCCUUAAUCUUCUCGGUGCUGAACACGCGUUGAAAACUGAAAGUCGGAAAAGACUCCCAAAGUACGAGGCGAGAGGAAAGAGAGAGAGAGAGAGAGAGAGAGAGAGAGAGAGAGAGAGAGAGAGAGAGAAAGGAGAAAGAAAAAAACGAUCGUUUCCCGAUCGGGCUUCUCGCCGUUAAUCGUCAUUACGCCUCACCCCUCCUCCCCCAGCCGAUUCACGUAGACGUUAAUAAAUGUAAGUAAUCGCACGCGGGGUCUUUUCAUCUCCCGUCGUUAAUCGUCUCGAAGCAGCGAAAGGAUUAAGCGCUAUUUCAAGGGGAAAAGCGCACAUUCAGCACCGUCCGACACGCCGGAAUAAUUUGGGGGGACCGAUUACUGUACCUGGUACAGUGAAACAUUUAAUACGUUCGAUAAGAGAAACAAGUGCGUACACACGCAAAAAAAAAAAAUAUAUAUAUAUAUACAUACGGGUACACACAGACACGCACACAAACGCGGAGUGCCGCGCGGAUCUAUAUUAGAUGUAUUACAUGUAUACAUGCAUACAUGUUAAAAGUCUAUUUAAAUACAUCGUAGAUACAAAUAUAUAAAUAUUAUACGUGUGUUAAACCUUUUCAUAGAGAUCUAAAUAACGACGUUGACAAAUUGCAUAGUAUAUUUACGCGAUUCUCGAUAAUCAAAUACUAUUGAUAGAUCGAACCGCGCGCGCGGAAAUCGUACACGUUCGAAAUUUAAUGCUCGGAAGAAGGGAAAGCUCCUGGAGAAUUAAGUUACUCGUGUCCUACGAGGCGGGACGUGAGGUUUUGGAGAGCGAGAGGAAGAAGGAGACACUUAAAAGUCCCGCUCCCUUGUACCGUGAGACUCGAGCGGUCGUAUGUGUUACACGUAGUAAGUACGAGUCGAAUACCUGAAAUACAAUCCUCGUCGGUCAACCGAUCGAAGAAACUGCCACGCAACAUUUGCCAAUUACAUAUUUACGGAAGGAGAGAGAGAGGGGAGGGGCUCUCUCCAUUUCUUCGUCAAUGCGCGCAAGUAUACUCGCGCGAGUCCACGGUGCUCAAUUAGACACAUAAGUACAAAGUACACGCGGGCGUGCAAAUUAUUUUUCUCCGACUGAGGUGUGCAUCUCUCCCUUAUACGUUAGUAAGUAAGAGCGUCAAGUCUGUCCAAAAAAAAAAAAAAAAAAAAAAAAAAGAAUAUGAAACAAUCCUCCCUCGCGUGAGAAAACCAACGCAGACGAUCCUCGAUCUACCUCAACGAUUGUCGGCUCAGCCCCACUUCCCUCAAAACGUAUUGUCCCCGACAAGGAAACAUCGAGGAACAAUCACUAUUGCGAAUCUCGUCCAACUGAAAGUCCUAGAACUUAAAAAGUCUCGCCAUCGACCUUCGAUUCUUAUCGUCGCAAUCUAUUCCGCACAAAUUAUCGAAGUCAAAGUUUCCCCCCCUCGAUCUCGAAAACUCGAGGGACUUUUUUUCGGCGGACGUACAAUUCCGUUGUUCUCGUUACCGCGACACGAGUGUUGGUCGGCGCCGAACAUGAGAAACGCCGAAUAAAUUUGUAAGAUGAUCGGUGUAAGCAGACGUGCAGCAGCCCCCGUGUGUUUCGAACUCACGAUCGUCGUUCGUUCAAUCCCCGAGCGUCUCGUCGGCCGAUAGAGAUAGAGGAUACUCGACGGUAACCGUUACACACGCCGAGUGUCUGUCUUCGGGGUCGAUUGAAUGCGGACGAUUAGGGCCUCUUCAAGCUCGGCGCACGCUGCAUCGUGCGUGAUCACGCGUUGUGCAAAUCGCUCGCAAACCAAGGGAAGUGAUAUGCUCGAUCUCACGCGGGUGCGCGGACGUGAUAAUGCUGGCGGCGAGAGAUGAGAUUGGAGCGCCAAGAGGAAGAGAAAGAGAGAAGAAACAGCUGCCAUACGGGACGAAGAGAAGGAGCCGCGCUAAGAAAGACGCACAGCCAUGUCAUGGGAGUCUAUCUCGUCCAGGGACUACCUCGGCGGAUCGGCGAGCCACCAGCUCUCGGCGACCGCGCUGCUGGGUAGCCCUGACGGAUCGAGACAUCCACUCGAUGUCUGCGAGUUCACCGAAGAGGAUUACCGACAUCAAAAUGGCAACGGUAAUAACAGUCAUUAUCAAAAUGGCAGGUCGGGCGCUAGUAUAUGGGAGUGUCUCAUAAGCUGCAGAAAACGGCUCGAUCAACAAUUAGCACGAAGAAGGGUAGAGCAAGGCUUGAAACUGUACCGGGCUCAUAAACAACAAGCCGCGGUUAGGAAAUGGAGAGGCGCCUUGAAGAGUAUUAGGCAUCGCGAGGAUAAAUUCGCUCUUCUCGGUUACUUGUAUCAAGCGUACAUGGAUUGGGGCAAAUACAGAGACAGCAUCGAAUUCGGUAACAAGCAAUUAUGCAUUUCGGAGGAGUUGGAUUCGCCGAAUAUGAGGGCAGAAGCGUAUUUAAACUUGGCCAGAGCUCACGAGAGAUUAGGCGCCCUGGAUAGAGCAUUAGAUUACGCUCGGCACAGCUUGUAUAACGAGUGCGAUCAGUGCGCGACUGCUGGAUUAGUUCACUUAACAGUAGGCAGAGUCCACUUAGAGCUAGCAGGAUUCUGUAAAGCCUUGGAAGCGUUUCAAAGAGCCCACAAAAUCGCCCACUCCAUUCAAGAUCCCUCCUUAGAACUGCAGGUGUACGUCGGUCUGUCGGAACUCUUCUGCAGAUUACAGGACGCGGACAAGAGUGCGAGAUACGCGGCGAGAGCUUACGAUCUCUCCAGAAGUUUACAACUGGGAGACCUGAAUUCGCGUCAUCACAGGGCGGCGUUAUUACAAAUGGCCGCGGCGCUCAGGAAGAAGGGCGAGCUUGGCGACGCUCACGAUUACUGCUCGGAGGCAACGCGAUUGUCGCUAGUUUCUGGCGACCAGGCCAGCUAUGCACGAAGCAUCCGUAUUAUGGGGGACAUUUACAGGAAGAAGUCGGAUAUAAAUAUGGACAUUUUGCAGAAAGCAUUCCGACAGUAUGAGAGCGCGAUGGGCUCGGCAGCCGCGACCGGCGAUCGACUGUGCCAGAUGGAAGCGAUGGACGGCGCGGCGAGAUGCCUGGAAGCUCUCAGGCUCCAACACAAGAUAUGUAACUGCAGACCCCUCGAGUUCAAUACUAGGCUUCUGGAGGUGGCGGGAUCGGUUGGCGCCAAGCUUCUAGUGCGAACAGUCAGGUCCAGAUUGUCGAAAAUUUAUGGGUCUCUGGGAGACGAAGAGCAAAAGGGACAUUAUGAGAGAUUGGCGAUCGCCAUGGAGGAAGAUUUGGAAUUACGAUGCGGAAGCUGCAACGAACCUUUCGGUCUGGAAGCUGAUUCCCUCGAAGCGUUACCUUGCUCUCAUAUAUUACACGCUCGGUAAGGCACGCGGAAAAACUUCAGAACCUUUUUGCUAAGAAAUAGAUGAACUAAAGCAAGAAUCAAAUAUAACGUUGGAAUCUCAAGCAUAAUAUGCGCAUACGACAUCUUGAAGAAACGUGACAAGAAGAAGAAACGUUUAUGCCCCGAUUGCCAUAAGUCUGUCAGUUCACGGCUGUACCUGCAUUGCGAAGAUCCUCACGGCAUGAAUACUCUAAAUCAUAGUUCCUUGAGC